CAAGAAAUGAUGCCAGGAAGACCAAGGAAAACAGCAGUCCUUGCCCCCACAUGCUUAUUAUACCAACCACAUUCGCUUCUGUGGAUGCUAUCUCCAUUCUAAGCAAGGUCAGGCAUGAACAAAGCUGUCUGGAGAGGCAAAGAGCAGCCAAAGAAGAUGCUGUGUAUUUCUCAAGCUCUGACCGCCUAAGAAUGAAUAAAACAGCUUCCUUGUUUCUUGUCAUCCUCAAAUACCUGGC
rnacentral:lncRNA from 1 species